rnacentral:rRNA from 1 species
UGACGGUACCUGACUAAGAAGCACCGGCUAAAUACGUGCCAGCAGCCGCGGUAAUACGUAUGGUGCAAGCGUUAUCCGGAUUUACUGGGUGUAAAGGGAGCGCAGGCGGUCCUGCAAGCCAGAGGUGAAAACCCGGGGCUCAACCCCGUGAUUGCCUUUGGAACUGUAGGACUUGAGUACUGGAGGGGCAGGCGGAAUUCCUGGUGUAGCGGUGAAAUGCGUAGAUAUCAGGAGGAACACCGGUGGCGAAGGCGGCCUGCUGGACAGAAACUGACGCUGAGGCUCGAAAGCGUGGGGAGCAAACAGGAUUAGAUACCCUG